rnacentral:misc_RNA from 1 species
GGAUUGGGUGUUGUUUGGGGAUGGAUGUGAGAUUGCCGUUUGGUUGGAAUUGGCACAAAGGCAUUCGGUUCGGGUUUAGCCCACAAAAUGGUAAUGGAAUCAUGGACUGUAAAAGCUCGAGGAAGGAGCUUGGCAAUUUUUGGCCUUCAGGAACCUGACCCUUUAAACACCAACUUGGCCCAUCUAUUGUGGAUCCAUGUUUCAGCAUUUUGUCUGAUUUAUGCCAUAAUUUAGUGAAAGAUCAAAAAAGGGAUAGGCUUAUCGCCUUAUCCAGCUACAAUGUCUAUGGCACCACAAAAAU